GUAAUCACUUGGGAAGCACAUAUGCUGAAGCUGGAAUUAUACAGAAAAGAUUGACAUGACCCCUUCAUAAAGAUGACAUUAAAAUUCAUAAAGGUUUCCAUACAUCU
ensembl:snRNA U6 U6 spliceosomal RNA